rnacentral:ncRNA from 2 species
GGUGACAAAAACAUAAGUCCUCAUAUAAUCACAGGGUUAUGGCCUGUAAGUUUCUACCUGAUGACCGUUAUUCAUCGGACUAUGAGGGAAAGUGCAACGGCU